GUUGGUUAGAGAGUGUUACAGCGCACUCGUAACGCGAAGGUCGUAGGUUCGAUUCCUAUUGCCGGCACCA
rnacentral:tRNA from 1 species